CCGAGCCUCUCCUCUCUUCUCGUCUCCUCCCCUCCCCUUGCGCAGAAGCAGAAGCAGAGAGCCCCUUCCUCAUCCCAGAAGCAAACCCUAGCCUAGCCUAGCCGCCAUGGCUCCGAGGGAAGCCUUCCUUCAUCCCUCUGCCCAGUGAUACUACCGGACUGCAUCCAUCGGCGCGCCUGUCCAGGGAUUCACGGAUUCACGGGGUCGGCGCCGCAUCCGUGAUGAUGAGGCCGGUCGCCGGAAGCUGGGCCGUUGCAGGGGUAGCCGGCCGGCCGGCGAGGAUGAGAGCGAGCUUCUUCUUUUUUUGGUUUUUGCGGCGGUUUCUGUUUCUCAGAUCUACAAAUCCUUGGCCGCAAAUCGCAUGCAAGAUGCACAUCUGUUUUCUUCUUUUGAUUUGAUUUAUCCAUGCGCAGGCAGAAACAACGGAUCUAGCUUGUGCAGGCGCCAUCUUGCAUGCUCGUUUAUUAAAUCUUGGCCCUCUCAGUUCUGAAUUCCGUUUUUACUCUUGUCAUAUGUAUGGCGACGAUUCUUCUUGUCAUAUGGCUUGCAAUUCGCUGUGCCUUAGAUGUACUACUAGUAAUAUAAUAUUACCGUCUUAUUAGACAUGUUUCUCGUUGAUUAUGCACUUUUUUCCCCCUUCUUUUCCAACUUUCUCGUUGAUUUGUUUGGAACAUCUUCAUUGCCCAAGCAGAGCAGAUCCCUUGGCUUGUUUGUUGCAGAUCAGGGUGCUUAGACCUGUUUUCUUCUUUUGAUUUGAUUUGAUUUGAUUCAUUCAUGUGGUAUAAUUUGCUCCCACAGAAAAUGAGUUAUAAUUUGCUCUGCUGUUUUCGGGUCAAUAUCCCUAUCAGAUUUGCUGCAAUCUCUGUUUACUUUUACAACAAUCUCGGCGGUCUCAUCUCAUCUCAUCUCAUCUCAUCUCAUUUCAUGGAGGUCAAGGAUGGCACGGCAAGGACCUACUUUGACUGAUGAUGUUUAUCAGCAACCCAGUUAAUAAUACGAGUUGAUGUUGAAUGUAGUGCCCGUAUGUGAUGUGAAGAAAUUUGUGCUCCAUGAAGAUGUGUGGAUGUGCAAGCUCUUGUACUGUCUGUCCGACUUUCAUGCCGAAUUCAGCAAGUGGUGUUUUAUUAUUGCA